CGGAACAUAGCUCAGCAGGUAGAGCAACUGGCUUACGUCCAGCGUGUCGGUGGUUCAAGCCCAUCUGUUCCGA
rnacentral:tRNA from 1 species